rnacentral:rRNA from 1 species
AUUGAACGCUGGCGGCAUGCCUUACACAUGCAAGUCGAACGGUAACAGGUCUUCGGAUGCUGACGAGUGGCGAACGGGUGAGUAAUACAUCGGAACGUGCCGAGUAGUGGGGGAUAACGCAGCGAAAGUUGUGCUAAUACCGCAUACGUACUGAGGUAGAAAGUGGGGGACCUUCGGGCCUCACGCUAUUCGAGCGGCCGACGUCUGAUUAGCUAGUAGGUGAGGUAAAGGCUCACCUAGGCGACGAUCAGUAGCGGGUCUGAGAGGAUGAGCCGCCACACUGGGACUGAGACACGGCCCAGACUCCGACGGGAGGCAGAAGUGGGGAAUUUUGGACAAUGGGCGAAAGCCUGAUCCAGCCAUGCCGCGUGUCUGAAGAAGGCCUUCGGGUUGUAAAGGACUUUUGUCGGGGAGGAAAUCCCCAGCGCUAAUACCGCUGGGGGAUGACAGUACCUGAAGAAUAAGCACCGGCUAACUACGUGCCAGCCGCCGCCGUAAUAC